GACGAACGCUGGCGGCGUGCUUAACACAUGCAAGUCGAACGGAAAGGCCCCUUUGGGGGUACUCGAGUGGCGAACGGGUGAGUAACACGUGAGUAACCUGCCCUUGACUUCGGGAUAACUUCAGGAAACUGGGGCUAAUACCGGAUAGGAAUCCUUGCUGCAUGGUGGGGGUUGGAAAGCUUCGGCGGUUUUGGAUGGACUCGCGGCUUAUCAGCUUGUUGGUGGGGUAGUGGCUUACCAAGGCUUUGACGGGUAGCCGGCCUGAGGGGGCGACCGGCCACAGUGGGAAGGAGAUAGGGCCCAGCCCCCGGGGGGGGGCAGCGGGGGGAAAUGUGGAAAAAGGGGGGGAGGCCGGAUGCAGCACCGCCGGGGGGGGGAUGAGGGCUUUGGGGUUGAAACCCGCUUUGAGAAGGGGAGAGGCUGGGGGUGCGGGUACCUGAAAAAAAAGCACCGGCUAACUACGGG
rnacentral:rRNA from 1 species